GCGGUGUUAGCUCAGUUGGUAGAGCACUGGAUUGUGAUUCCAGGAGUGACGGGUUCGAGUCCCGUACAUCGCCCCA
rnacentral:tRNA from 1 species